rnacentral:rRNA from 1 species
GAUGAACGCUAGCGGCAGGCCUAAUACAUGCAAGUCGAGGGGUAGAGGAGAGCUUGCUUUCCUUGAGGCCGGCGCACGGGUGCGUAACGCGUAUGCAACCUACCCUUUUCUGGGGGAUAGCCCGGAGAAAUCCGGAUUAAUACCGCAUAAGACCACACGGCGGCAUCGUCGAGGGGUCAAACAUUUAUGGGAGAAGGAUGGGCAUGCGUGCCAUUAGCUAGUUGGCGGGGUAACGGCCCACCAAGGCUACGAUGGCUAGGGGAUCUGAGAGGAUGGCCCCCCACACUGGUACUGAGACACGGACCAGGCUCCUACGGGAGGCAGCAGUAAGGAAUAUUGGUCAAUGGGCGCAAGCCUGAACCAGCCAUGCCGCGUGCAGGAAGACGGCCCUCCGGGUUGUAAACUGCUUUUGUACGGGAAUAAACCUUUCUUCGUGAAGGAAGCUGAAUGUACCGUAAGAAUAAGGAUCGGCUAACUCCGUGCCAGCAGCCGCCGUAACAC